GACGUAGGGCGCGAGCGUUGUCCGGAAUUAUUGGGCGUAAAGAGCUCGUAGGCGGUCUGUCGCGUCUGCUGUGAAAACUCAGGGCUUAACUCUGAGCUUGCAGUGGGUACGGGCAGACUAGAGUGCGGUAGGGGAGACUGGAAUUCCUGGUGUAGCGGUGAAAUGCGCAGAUAUCAGGAGGAACACCGGUGGCGAAGGCGGGUCUCUGGGCCGUAACUGACGCUGGAGGAGCG
rnacentral:rRNA from 1 species